rfam:Fusobacterium sp. 3_1_5R genomic scaffold supercont1.2, whole genome shotgun sequence.
GGUCGCAUAGCUCAGUUGGGAGAGCAUCUGCCUUACAAGCAGAGGGUCAUAGGUUCGAGUCCUAUUGCGACCA